rnacentral:rRNA from 1 species
UACGUAGGGGGCUAGCGUUGUCCGGAUUUAUUGGGCGUAAAGAGCGUGUAGGCGCCAAGUAGGUCCGGUGUGAAAACUCGAGGCUUAACCUCGAGAUGUCAUCGGAAACCAUUUGGCUAGAGUCCGGAAGAGGAAAGUGGAAUUCCUGGUGUAGCGGUGAAAUGCGCAGAUAUCAGGAAGAACACCAAUGGCGAAAGCAGCUUUCUGGGACGGU